rnacentral:rRNA from 1 species
AGCGGGAAGAGCUCAAAUUUGUAAUCUGGCACCUUCGGUGUCCGAGUUGUAAUCUCGAGAAGUGUUUUCCGCGCCGGACCGCAUACAAGUCUGUUGGAAUACAGCGUCAUAGUGGUGAGAACCCCGUAACUGAUGCGGAUGCCCGGUGCUUUGUGAUACACUUUCGAAGAGUCGAGUUGUUUGGGAAUGCAGCUCAAAUUGGGUGGUAAAUUCCAUCUAAAGCUAAAUAUUGGCGAGAGACCGAUAGCGAACAAGUACCGUGAGGGAAAGAUGAAAAGCACUUUGGAAAGAGAGUUAACAGUACGUGAAAUUGUUGGAAGGGAAACGCUUGAAGUCAGACUUGCUAUUUGGAAUUCAGCCGCAAGGUGUACUUUUCAAUUCGCAGGCCAGCAUCAGUUUUCGGGGGUGGAAAAGGGUAGAGAGAAGGUAGCAAUUUCGGUUGUGUUAUAGCUCUUUGCUGGAUUCAUCCUUGGGGACUGAGGAACGCAGCACGCUUUUUGCAAGGCUUUCGAGCUUUUCGUGCUUAGGAUGCUGGUGGAAUGGCUUUAAACGACCCGUCUUGAAACACGGACC